GAUGAAGAACGUAGUGAAAUGCGAUAAGUAGUGUGAAUUGCAGAAUUCAGUGAAUCAUCGAAUCUUUGAGCGCACAUUGCGCCCCUUGGUAUUCCAUGGGGCAUGCCUGUUCGAGCGUCAUUUGUACCUUCAAGCUUUGCUUGGUGUUGGGUGUUUGUCUCGCAUUUGCGUGUAGACUCGCCUUAAAAUAAUUGGCAGCCGGCGUAUUGAUUUCGGAGCGCAGUACAUCUCGCGCUUUGCACUCAUAACGACAGCGUCCAAAAGUACAUUUUACACUCUUGACCUCGGAUCAGGUAGGGAUACCCGCUGAACUUAAGCAUAUCAAUAAGCGGAGGA
rnacentral:misc_RNA from 1 species